rnacentral:lncRNA from 1 species
CUUGGAAGUAACUCCAGUUAUGGCACUCUCCAGCAUUUACCAUGGAGGAAAGAAUACAUAUCGAUUUUCAAGUGGAUGAGUAUUUAUAUCUCAAAAGAGGAAAUACAGAAGAUCACAUUUCAUGGGAGAUAACUACUCUAAGAAAGCAGAUUGUAUGUAUACACAUUCAUGGAUACACAGGUUUGGGGGUUUAAAUAGCUUCUUUCUGAUUCACAGUUGUGCCAAAUGUGA